GAUGAACGCUGGCGGCGUGCCUAAUACAUGCAAGUCGAGCGAACGGACGAGAAGCUUGCUUCUCUGAUGUUAGCGGCGGACGGGUGAGUAACACGUGGAUAACCUACCUAUAAGACUCGGAUAACUUCGGGAAACCGGAGCUAAUACCGGAUGAUAUUUUGAACCGCAUGGUUCAAAAGUGAAAGACGGUCUUGCUGUCACUUAUAGAUGGAUCCGCGCUGCAUUAGCUAGUUGGUAAGGUAACGGCUUACCAAGGCAACGAUGCAUAGCCGACCUGAGAGGGUGAUCGGCAACACUGGAACUGAGACACGGUCCAGCCUCCUACGGGAGGAAGCAGUAGGGAAUCUUCCGCAAUGGGCGAAAGCCUGACGGAGCAACGCCGCGUGAGUGAUGAAGGUCUUCGGAUCGUAAAACUCUGUUAUUAGGGAAGAACAUAUGUGUAAGUAACUGUGCACAUCUUGACGGUACCUAAUCAGAAAGCCACGGCUAACUACGUG
rnacentral:rRNA from 1 species